GUAUGUGUGCGGGUUGCGCAAUGUGUUUACUGCGUUUUCUGUGCCCUUUGCCUCGCUGUGACAUCUUUGGUAUAUUCCAACUUGUUGCUCGCUCUUUAUGGGCUACACGUUGCCUCGAAGAUCACCAUGAUCGCCUCCGACUCAGCCACAUCGAAGAAUCAAAAUGAGCCUGGAGACACCACAGCCGGAAUGCGAAAGGUUGGAGAAGUGCUCAUUCAGAUGAUCCUGGCACAGCUUGCCAUGGUGGACCAGGCAAAUUUGCAAGGGCCUUGAUUCACCAUGUGUUCACAAAAAAAAA